UGGGGAAUAUUGCACAAUGGGCGCAAGCCUGAUGCAGCCAUGCCGCGUGUGUGAAGAAGGCCUUCGGGUUGUAAAGCACUUUCAGCGGGGAGGAAGGCGAUAAGGUUAAUAACCUUGUCGAUUGACGUUACCCGCAGAAGAAGCACCGGCUAACUCCGUGCCAGCAGCCGCGGUAAUACGGAGGGUGCAAGCGUUAAUCGGAAUUACUGGGCGUAAAGCGCACGCAGGCGGUCUGUCAAGUCGGAUGUGAAAUCCCCGGGCUCAACCUGGGAACUGCAUUCGAAACUGGCAGGCUAGAGUCGUGUAGAGGGGGGUAGAAUUCCAGGUGUAGCGAUGAAAUGCGUAGAGAUCUGGAGGAAUACCGGUGGCGAAGGCGGCCACCUGGACAAAGACUGACGCUCAGGUGCGAAAGCGUGGGGAGCAAACAGG
rnacentral:rRNA from 1 species